rnacentral:rRNA from 1 species
UACGUAGGGGGCAAGCGUUGUCCGGAAUCAUUGGGCGUAAAGAGCGCGUAGGCGGCCCAGUCAGUCCGCUCUGAAAGUCAGGGGCUUAACCCCUGAAUGCGGGUGGAUACGGCUGGGCUAGAGUCCGGAAGAGGCGAGUGGAAUUCCUGGUGUAGCGGUGAAAUGCGCAGAUAUCAGGAGGAACACCGAUGGCGAAGGCAGCUCGCUGGGACGGUACUGACGCUGAGGCGCGAAAGCGUGGGGAGCAAACAGG